CUACGGGUGGCUCCAGUGGGGAAUAUUGCACAAUGGGCGAAAGCCUGAUGCAGCAACGCCGCGUGAACGAUGAAGGCCUUCGGGUCGUAAAGUUCUGUUCUAAGGGAAGAAUAAAUGACGGUACCUUAGAAGAAAGCCCCGGCUAACUACGUGCCAGCAGCCGCGGUAAUACGUAGGGGGCAAGCGUUAUCCGGAAUCAUUGGGCGUGAAGGGUGCGUAGGCGGUUAUGCAAGUUAGAGGUGAAAGGCUACGGCUAAACCGUAGUAAGCCUUUAAAACUGCAUAACUUGAGUGCAGGAGAGGAGAGUGGAAUUCCUAGUGUAGCGGUGAUAUGCGUAGAUAUUAGGAGGAACACCAGUGGCGAAGGCGACUCUCUGGACUGUAACUGACGCUGAGGCACGAAAGCGUGGGGAGCGAACAGGAUUAGAUACCCGGGUAGUC
rnacentral:rRNA from 1 species